rnacentral:tRNA from 1 species
AUUAGGAUGGCAGAUUCCGGUUUAUUGCAAAAGGUUUAAGCCCUUUUAAAAGGGGUUCAACUCCCCUUCCUAAUU